rnacentral:rRNA from 1 species
CAGGCUUAACACAUGCAAGUCGAGGGGCAGCAUGGUCUUAGCUUGCUAAGGCCGAUGGCGACCGGCGCACGGGUGAGUAACGCGUAUCCAACCUGCCUUACACUCUUGGACAGCCUUCUGAAAGGGAGAUUAAUACAAGAUGUUAUCAUGAGUAAGCAUUUUCACAUGAUUAAAGGUUUACCGGUGUAAGAUGGGGAUGCGUUCCAUUAGAUAGUAGGCGGGGUAACGGCCCACCUAGUCUUCGAUGGAUAGGGGUUCUGAGAGGAAGGUCCCCCACAUUGGAACUGAGACACGGUCCAAACUCCUACGGGAGGCAGCAGUGAGGAAUAUUGGUCAAUGGACGAGAGUCUGAACCAGCCAAGUAGCGUGAAGGAUGAAGGUUCUAUGGAUUGUAAACUUCUUUUAUACGGGAAUAAACGGAUCCACGUGUGGAUUUUUGCAUGUACCGUAUGAAUAAGGAUCGGCUAACUCCGUGCCAGCAGCCGCGGUAAUACGGAGGAUCCGAGCGUUAUCCGGAUUUAUUGGGUUUAAAGGGAGCGUAGAUGGGUUGUUAAGUCAGUUGUGAAAGUUUGCGGCUCAACCGUAAAAUUGCAAUUGAUACUGGCAGUCUUGAGUACAGUUGAGGUAGGCGGAAUUCGUGGUGUAGCGGUGAAAUGCUUAGAUAUCACGAAGAACUCCGAUUGCGAAGGCAGCUUACUAACCUGUAACUGACAUUGAUGCUCGAAAGUGUGGGUAUCAAACAGGAUUAGAUACCCUGGUAGUCCACACGGUAAACGAUGAAUACUCGCUGUAGGCGAUAUACAGUCUGCGGCCAAGCGAAAGCAUUAAGUAUUCCACCUGGGGAGUACGCCGGCAACGGUGAAACUCAAAGGAAUUGACGGGGGCCCGCACAAGCGGAGGAACAUGUGGUUUAAUUCGAUGAUACGCGAGGAACCUUACCCGGGCUUAAAUUGCAACCGAAUAUGGCGGAAACGCUAUAGCUAGCAAUAGCGGUUGUGAAGGUGCUGCAUGGUUGUCGUCAGCUCGUGCCGUGAGGUGUCGGCUUAAGUGCCAUAACGAGCGCAACCCUUGCCGAUAGUUACUAACAGGUCAUGCUGAGGACUCUGUCGGGACUGCCAUCGUAAGAUGUGAGGAAGGUGGGGAUGACGUCAAAUCAGCACGGCCCUUACGUCCGGGGCUACACACGUGUUACAAUGGGGGGUACAGAGGGCUGCUACCACGCAAGUGGAUGCCAAUCCCAAAAACCUCUCUCAGUUCGGAUUGAAGUCUGCAACCCGACCUCAUGAAGCUGGAUUCGCUAGUAAUCGCGCAUCAGCCACGGCGCGGUGAAUACGUUCCCGGGCCUUGUACACACCGCCCGUCAAGCCAUGGGAGCCGGGGGUACCUGAAGUGCGUAACCGCAAGGAGCGCCCUAGGGUAAAACUGGUG